CGGACGGGUGAGUAAUGUCUGGGAAACUGCCUGAUGGAGGGGGGUAACUACUGGAAACGGUAGCUAACACCGCAUAACGUCGCAAGACCAAAGAGGGGGACCUUCGGGCCUCUUGCCAUCGGAUGUGCCCAGAUGGGAUUAGCUAGUAGGUGGGGUAAAGGCUCACCUAGGCGACGAUCCCUAGCUGGUCUGAGAGGAUGACCAGCCACACUGGAACUGAGACACGGUCCAG
rnacentral:rRNA from 1 species